CCUACGAUAAGUCUUUACUCCUUCUUUCAUACAAACUUUAUUUUUACUUCCGAAAAAAGUGUUCUGCAUUGAUUUUUAAACAGUGACUCAUAAGCGAGGAAUUUUAAUAAAUCAUCGUAGCCAUGGGUAACUCCAAAGAAUCGAUUUCUUGUCUGUUUGAGUGCGAAUGGAUUAUUGACAAAGUUAAUAAACAUAAAAUUGAACAAAAUUCUGACCUCUCGGAAUCCUCUAUAAAUAACAAAAUAGAUAAAAGUGAGGAUAGUGAACCAAGUUGUGGAAAAGUGAAGGAAGAGGACGACACACCGGCAAUGCAUGAACUUCCUGAUGCAGAAUCUGCUUACAGCGGAGAUUCAUUUUGUUCUGACAAGUCUUCCGAUUCAGAGUCACAAAUAACAGAUGUCACUCCUCGAUCUUUACUGAGCACUUUAUCCUCUUUUUCUUUCAAUGUGAGAGAAAUGACGGAAAGCGAUCCAAAUACUAAAUUUCCAAAUGAUGAAAACGAAAUGUAUGAGCUAUCAGACGAUAUGGCGUACUUAUCAAUGGAUUAUCUUGGACGAAUUAAUUCAAGUCAACCACAAUUCAGCUCAAAAAGGAAAAACAUGACUUUCACGAACGAAGAACUCAUGAAGAUUGAACGUGACAAUCAAAUUUUAUUAGCCAGGAUAAUGAAAUUUCAGAGACCACAGACCAAAGCAAAAACACAAAAUGUGAAAAAUAGGCUCAGCAGUUCUGCUAUUAACAGAAGGAAACUACAAAAGAAAAUUGAGGACGACAAUUUGGCGAGGUAGACUAAGAACAUGGAAAAGCUCAACAGAGCUGCACAGUGCUCGCAUAAUGUAGGAGAAAUCCGAUUUCUUAAAGAUUGACGGAAAAGGCGAGUGCAUCAAGCAGCGAGGGAAUUGUUAUUGGAGGGAAAAAAUUAGCACAGGAAAAAAGGAAAAGGGACGAAGUGAACGAAAGGAGAAGGAUAAAGAACGAGUAAAUCAGAAGGAAGGAAAUGCGUCGGAGUUUGUAAUAAAAAAAACGGACUAAAGAUAAGGACAGAAGCAACGCGUGGAGAAGAUGGGCAGGUGAAGGUAGUUUGUUCCAAAGACGAGCACCACGAAUAAUAAAAGACCUUUGCAUUUUAAACAACGAUGUGGCUGAAUUUGUAGUAC